CGUCCCUACAAAGCCCCAAUCGAUGCCGCCCCAAAUCCAAGGCCCCCAGGCGCCGUUCCGCCGCCACCACCAACAAAUAGAGGAGGAGAGGGAGCCGAGAAGGGAGGAGAAGAGAAGAGGAGGGAGGAGCGCCGCAGCAGCCCAUCUAGCGCCAGGCCAGGGAGAGGAGGACUCACCGCUGGGAGGAGCACCAAGGAAAAGGUCCAGCCGCCGCCGAGAACGCCAUCGCCGGACUUCAUCACGCCGGCGCCCAUACGACUCCGUCAAUGAAGCCGCGCGCCACGGCACAGCCUCGACUCGCCACUGCUCCAUGCCCUUCUCCCUCGAGCACACCGGACCUGCUGCCGAGGAGACGAUCGACGACCAGGACUACUAGGAGCCCUAGGAGUUCUAGAGGAGCCACCAGGUUCAUGCCCAUCUUUGUUUAAAUACCUAUUAGGCAUUUCUUCCUAGAUAUGAUGAGAUUAACAUGCAUAGCCUAUUUAUUUAUUGUAUUCCUCGUACUCCUAUGUUUACCUUGAUUGAAUCUAUGAGAUGCCUUGGCUACCAUGUGUAUGUGUAGGAUAUCGUAAUUGAUAGUCUUGGCGUGAGUGGAGAUUCCACCAUAUGAGGAGUUGGUGAUUAGGGUUUUUACUUUAGCGGGGGUGAGCUUUUUGGCUUAGGGUGUGUGUUGGGCACUCCCUACGGAGCACCUGUGGCGGGUGCAUUUGAGUCGGAGGACACGGGUGGAUACUUGCAGAGUGUGGAGAGGUGAUACCUGUAAUUGGUGCCUAUAGUGGACCGUUGCGGCGGAUUCGCACGCGGAGAUGCUCGCCUCGGCAACAUAAGGCCUAGUUAGUGGACCUGGUGACAGAACUAUGUCAAAUGUGCACACCACUUAUCCAUUAUGAGGAUGGACCCAGUUUGAGCUAGCACAACCCCGGGGCGACCUCUUGCGGGAGGAUGUACCCCAAACCCGGGGAAACAGGAUGGUGUCAUAGCUGUUAGUUUCGUGACAGUAGACUGGUGCCUCGGGGUCAGUCGGAUCAUUCCCAGCUGGCGUCGGGACAAGUGGGUACAGGUGCGCAACCCCUACAGGGUGAAAACUAUACGUAUAGCAGCGUACUUAGUCAUGACUCUUGAUCUGGCUUCACUUUCCUAGUGUAGUGUUACCUGAUUUCUACCUCCCUCUAGUCUACUUUCCUGCAUGGAUUGCAGCUGAGGUGUUGAGAAAGGAGUUCUCACACCGACUUGGUGGGUACUUUUUGUUCUUGGGAGGUGUGUGUGACCGGGAGUCCGGAAAGCCGGAAUGGCUCGUGUCGAGAUGAUUGGAUGAAGUAUAUAUAUAUAUUUAUAUACUUGCUUGCUGCUUGCAUAGGAAACUCAGCCUUAUCCUUUGGCUAUUAUUUCUACCUUAUUGCAUCCACUUAAAGAUUGCAUACGGAUGAUGACGUGAACCUAUCCCAUCGUUGGGGAUAGUUUGGCAAGAUGAAGGAUCCAACCCAGAGUUCGACGCCAACGACGACGGAUGGUACAAUUGAAGCCCGUGCUACGCUCAAGGCUGCCUGUGGAGAUGAAGUUCAAGCUGAAGGAUGACCUGAGAACUAGCUACCGCCUCUGAGUUUUGUUUGUUCCGAUUUAGCCCAAUGUACUUGUAAUGGGAAAUUCGUACUACAGAUCCAUUGGAUAUUGCAAUAAUUAGACCCAUGUUUGAAUCUUUUAAGUAA